rnacentral:rRNA from 1 species
UUGAACGCUGGCGGCAUGCCUUACACAUGCAAGUCGAACGGCAGCACGGGAGCAAUCCUGGUGGCGAGUGGCGAACGGGUGAGUAAUAUAUCGGAACGUGCCCAGUCGUGGGGGAUAACGUAGCGAAAGCUACGCUAAUACCGCAUACGAUCUAUGGAUGAAAGCGGGGGAUCGCAAGACCUCGCGCGAUUGGAGCGGCCGAUAUCAGAUUAGGUAGUUGGUGAGGUAAAGGCUCACCAAGCCGACGAUCUGUAGCUGGUCUGAGAGGACGACCAGCCACACUGGGACUGAGACACGGCCCAGACUCCUACGGGAGGCAGCAGUGGGGGAAUUUUGGACAAUGGGCGCAAGCCUGAUCCAGCAAUGCCGCGUGCAGGAUGAAGGCCUUCGGGUUGUAAACUGCUUUUGUACGGAACGAAACGGUGAGCUCUAAUACAGUUUGCUAAUGACGGUACCGUAAGAAUAAGCACCGGCUAACUACGUG